rnacentral:rRNA from 1 species
GACGAACGCUGGCGGCGUGCUUAACACAUGCAAGUCGAACGGAAAGGCCUGCUUUCCCUUGUGGAUUGCGGGUACUCGAGUGGCGAACGGGUGAGUAACACGUGAGUGAUCUGCCCCCAACUUGGGUAUAAGCCUGGGAAACUGGGUCUAAUUCCCGAUAGGACUGCAGGGUGGUGCCUGUGGUGGAAAACGAUUUUCUAGUGGUUGGGGAUGAGCUCGCGGCCUAUCAGCUUGUUGGUGGGGUAAUGGCCUACCAAGGCGGCGACGGGUAGCCGGCCUGAGAAGGUGGACGGCCACAUUGGGACUGAGAUACGGCCCAGACUCCUACGGGAGGCAGCAGUGGGGAAUAUUGCACAAUGGGCGGAAGCCUGAUGCAGCGACGCCGCGUGGGGGAUGACGGCCUUCGGGUUGUAAACUCCUUUCGACCGCGAGGAAGCCACCUGGUUGGAAGGGUGGUGACGGUAGUGGUAGAAGAAGCACCGGCUAACUACGUG